GACGAACGCUGGCGGCGUGCUUAACACAUGCAAGUCGAACGGAAAGGCCCUGCUUUUGUGGGGUGCUCGAGUGGCGAACGGGUGAGUAACACGUGAGUAACCUGCCCUUGACUUUGGGAUAACUUCAGGAAACUGGGGCUAAUACCGGAUAGGAGCUCCUGCUGCAUGGUGGGGGUUGGAAAGUUUCGGCGGUUGGGGAUGGACUCGCGGCUUAUCAGCUUGUUGGUGGGGUAGUGGCUUACCAAGGCUUUGACGGGUAGCCGGCCUGAGAGGGUGACCGGCCACAUUGGGACUGAGAUACGGCCCAGACCCCUACGGGAGGCAGCGGUGGGGAAUAUUGCACAAUGGGCGGAAGCCUGAUGCAGCAACGCCGCGUGCGGGAUGACGGCCUUCGGGUUGUAAACCGCUUUCGCCUGUGACGAAGCGUGAGUGACGGUAAUGGGUAAAGAAGCACCGGCUAACUACGUG
rnacentral:rRNA from 1 species